AGCAGCCGCGGUAAUUCCAGCUCCAAUAGCGUAUAUUAAAGUUGUUGCAGUUAAAAGCUCGUAGUUGAAUUUCGGGAUUGGCGCAUCGGUCGUGCCUCACGGGGUAUGAACUGGUGCAGUCAAUUUCUCACCUUCUGGAGAACCGCGAUGUCCUUAAUUGGAUGCCGCGGGGAACCAGGACCUUUACUUUGAAAAAAUUAGAGUGUUUAAAGCAGGCAUUUUUGCUUGAAUACAUUAGCAUGGAAUAAUAAAAUAGGACGGCAUGGUUCUAUUUUGUUGGUUUCUAGGACCACCGUAAUGAUUAAUAGGGAUAGUUGGGGGCAUUAGUAUUCAAUUGUCAGAGGUGAAAUUCUUGGAUUUAUUGAAGACUAACUACUGCGAAAGCAUUUGCCAAGGAUGUUUUCAUUAAUCAAGAACGAAAGUUAGGGGAUCGAAGACGAUCAGAUACCGUCGUAGUCUUAACCAUAAACUAUGCCGACUAGGAAUCAGACGAUGUUAAUUUUUUAAUGACUCGUUUGGC
rnacentral:misc_RNA from 1 species